rnacentral:snoRNA from 1 species
UCUGUGAUGAUCUACAAAUUAAGCAUAGUUCACUCCGAAACUAUCGUGUGGAAUACUAUACUAACGUCUUUCGCUCCUAUCUGA